UACGUAGGGGGCAAGCGUUGUCCGGAUUUAUUGGGCGUAAAGAGCGUGUAGGCGGCCUUACAGGUCAGCUGUGAAAACUCGAGGCUCAACCUCGAGACGUCGGUUGAAACCGUAUGGCUAGAGUCCGGAAGAGGAGAGUGGAAUUCCCGGUGUAGCGGUGAAAUGCGCAGAUAUCGGGAAGAACACCCGUGGCGAAGGCGGCUCUCUGGGACGGUACUGGACGCGUGAGACGCGAAAGCGUGGGGAGCGAACAGG
rnacentral:rRNA from 1 species